GCGGCAUACAUUAUUGAUAUUUUAUUCCUAAUGCAACUAAUAGGUUUAAUAUAAAAACCACUUGCACAACUGGUACUGUUUUCUAUCAAAUACAAAAAAACUUUAUAAUUUUAAUUUUGGUAAAAAACUACUUGGCCCACAGAACAAUACAGCUGUAGUCAUAAUCACUAAACAUUUCUAACUUUGGAAAGAGGAAGAUGAGUCAAGUGAAUUACAUCUAAUAGUGUUUUUUUCAUUUGUAUAUUUUAACCUUUAUUUGGUAAUAUCCUAUUGACCUGGCUCGCUAAUGUAUUAUUGUGCUACGGUAAUUUUUUGUAUUCUUGUCUUCUAUGUGUUUGCUAAUGUGAUUUGUCUAUAGAGUGUCUAUAUGCAAUUUUGUUUUUCAUUGUUUGUUUUAUAGUGACGACGAUUAUAACACACUAUUGGCUGCUGUUGACAUUUUGUCCCUGUUAUAUUUGCUUUCUUCAUACAUUAAAGUCAAUAUAAUAGAAUUUUAUACGACGGUCAUACAAAUGAGAGGUU
rnacentral:lncRNA from 1 species